rnacentral:misc_RNA from 1 species
GAUGAAGAACGUAGCGAAAUGCGAUAAGUAAUGUGAAUUGCAGAAUUCAGUGAAUCAUCGAGUCUUUGAACGCACAUUGCGCCCGCCAGUAUUCUGGCGGGCAUGCCUGUUCGAGCGUCAUUACAACCCUCAGGCCCCCGGGCCUGGCGUUGGGGAUCGGCGGAAGCCCCCUGUGGGCACACGCCGUCCCUCAAAUACAGUGGCGGUCCCGCCGCAGCUUCCAUUGCGUAGUAGCUAACACCUCGCAACUGGAGAGCGGCGCGGCCAUGCCGUAAAACACCCAACUUCUGAAUGUUGACCUCGAAUCAGGUAGGAAUACCCGCUGAACUUAAGCAUAUCAAUAAGCGGAGGA